GAUGAACGCUGGCGGCGUGCCUAAUACAUGCAAGUAGAACGCUGAAGGAAGGAGCUUGCUCUUUCCGGAUGAGUUGCGAACGGGUGAGUAACGCGUAGGUAACCUGCCUGGUAGCGGGGGAUAACUAUUGGAAACGAUAGCUAAUACCGCAUAACAGUAGAUGUUGCAUGAUAUCUACUUAAAAGGUGCAAUUGCACCACUACCAGAUGGACCUGCGUUGUAUUAGCUAGUUGGUGAGGUAACGGCUCACCAAGGCGACGAUACAUAGCCGACCUGAGAGGGUGAUCGGCCAAACUGGGACUGAGACACGGCCCAGACUCCUACGGGAGGCAGCAGUAGGGAAUCUUCGGCAAUGGACGGAAGUCUGACCGAGCAACGCCGCGUGAGUGAAGAAGGUUUUCGGAUCGUAAAGCUCUGUUGUAAGAGAAGAACGAGUGUGAGAGUGGAAAGUUCACACUGUGACGGUAUCUUACCAGAAAGGGACGGCUAACUACGUG
rnacentral:rRNA from 1 species